GACGAACGCUGGCGGCGUGCUUAACACAUGCAAGUCGAGCGGUAAGGCCCUUUCGGGGGUACACGAGCGGCGAACGGGUGAGUAACACGUGGGUGACCUGCCCUCAGCUCUGGGAUAAGCCUGGGAAACCGGGUCUAAUACCGGAUAUGACUCCAUGACGCAUGUUGUGGGGUGGAAAGCCUUGUGCGGCUGAGGAUGGGCCCGCGGCCUAUCAGCUUGUUGGUGGGGUGAUGGCCUACCAAGGCGACGACGGGUAGCCAGCCUGAGAGGGCGACCGGCCACACUGGGACUGAGACACGGCCCAGACUCCGUACGGGAGGCAGCAGGUGGGGAAUCUUGCGCAAGUGGGACGAAAGCCUGACGCAGCGACGCCGCGUGAGGGAUGAC
rnacentral:rRNA from 1 species